rnacentral:rRNA from 1 species
AGAGUGAACGCUGGCGGUAGGCCUAACACAUGCAAGUCGAACGGCAGCACAGGAGAGCUUGCUCUCUGGGUGGCGAGUGGCGGACGGGUGAGGAAUACAUCGGAAUCUACCUUUUCGUGGGGGAUAACGUAGGGAAACUUACGCUAAUACCGCAUAAGACCUUCGGGUGAAAGCCGGGACCUUCGGGCCUGGCGCGGAUAGAUGAGCCGAUGUCGGAUUAGCUUGGUGGACGGGUAAAAGCCCACGAAGGCGACGAUCCGUAGCUGGUCUGAGAGGAUGAUCAGCCACACUGGAACUGAGACACGGUCCAGUACUCCGUAGGGAGCAGCAGUGGGAAU